AUCGAAUUGAAUAUAGAUGAUUCGUCAUGAACUCUGCAAGAAAUAGGUUCGUUAUUCUUUAUUAUGUGGACCUGGAAAUGGAAAUUAAUAUAUGAUGUAAAAGUUCUUUUGAAGUUAUCAUUGUUUCCUCUACCUCAGGUUCUCCUUAUUUGUGUAUGUAUUACUUAUUCUUCAUUGGAUUUAUAUGAAUACGUAUUAUUAAUAUAAUGUGGUAAACAGCAGUUUACAUACACGCGUUUGUUUUGUUCUCUAUAAAAGAAAGAGAAGAAAAUGUAUCAUUUACGAAAGUAAAAUAUUUUUGUUUAAAGUAAAGAUGAUUUUGUUACUGUUACUCCAGUCCAUUCCUAAAUUUCCCAAUUCCAAGCUAAAGCCCGAAUUCCCACAUUAUCGCUUGACCUGCUAGAAAUAACCAGAUCGCAUCCUCAUUAAAAAAGUGAAAUACAUUUCAUUAUAUAGUCGGCAAACAUUCGAUCGCCAUAUAGUCUUGGUUGGAUACAGUAUACCUAAAAAGGACGGCUGAAAUAACUUUCAUUCCUUUGAUGCUAAGGAUGUGCAAGCAGAAGUGACCAAGUGCUAAACAAAAGGAAAUAUUGGACAAAAUAGUUCUCAUGCGAUUUUUGUAUUUAAAGUAUACCACUUUCAGUUUUGUAACUGAAAGUGUCACACCCCAGAGAUAAUGAUCCAAAGCAAUCGCUGAAUCGACUGUAGAAUAGAUUCAACAUUUCAUAUAACGCUUCGAGGAUUUUUCCAUUUUCUUUUUACCACGCGGGUAUACAAAUGAUGUUUUAUGAAAACAUUCUUUGAACAUUUAUGAUUUUUUUUUACACACUCCCCCCUAUCCUACCCUCACCCAAUCCAAACCGAUUUGGGGCAAUUUCUUUUUUGCCUUAUGCACUUUAAAACGAUUGAUGAAGCCAUUUCAGAAAAUAUUUUAGAUAAAAACGUAUACCAAAUAUACCAUCAUAACACGUGUAAUAAAGAAGUAAAGGUAACUAUUCUAAUAUUCCAAAUAUUCAUUUUAAAAAUGUAUACAUCCUGAGAAUUUUUAAUGAAAUUAUAUAAAGUGACCUACGUGAUUGUCAGGCUGAUGAUCUAUAAUAUCCACACUCUGUAUCUUUUCUGUAGAUAUUUACUCUCUCUUCCUUUUUGUUCUAUCUUUCAAUAUUUAUGAUUUAGUAUCAUCUCUCUAACACAAUUUGCGUUGACUUAUAAUAGCCUCUUAUAUAUUAUGCUGUCCCUAUGUUUCAGGAUAUUUGGUAAUAUUGAUGUGACAAUUUCCCACAGAAGACACGUCAGCAGAUCAAUGAAUUAUCUGGAAGACUAAAGAAUGACUUCAUGAGGAUAACAUGAUAGAGGUCUUCUAACUUGAAAUUGACUGGAAGUGUAUGUUCUGGCUUGAUUAUGUAUGGUUGAACUCAAGAAAUUUAAUAGAAAACAUCACCAGCCUUUUGUGUAAUGCCUAAGGUAUCUGAGUAUACUUUGAGAACUGAAUAUCAUGUGUGACAGGAUUGGAUUUAAUCUAAAAAUUAUAAUUAAGGCGAAUGACUUUUAUCUGAAAAGAGUAUAUGCGAUAUAACUAUAAAAAAUAUUCCAAAUUUUAAUUUAUAUUAUCCCUAAAAAUAAUCUGUAUCUUCAUAAAUUCCUGCCCAGUAAUCUAACAUCUUAAUCACAGU
rnacentral:lncRNA from 1 species